UACGGGGGGGGCAAGCGUUGUUCGGAAUUACUGGGCGUAAAGCGCGCGUAGGCGGCCUCAUAAGUCCGUUGUGAAAGUCAAAGGCUCAACCUUUGAAAGCCGAUGGAUACUGUGAGGCUAGAGUCCGGAAGAGGCGAGUGGAAUUCCUGGUGUAGCGGUGGAAUGCGCAGAUAUCAGGAGGAACACCAAUAGCGAAGGCAGCUCGCUGGGACGGUACUGACGCUAAGGCGCGAAAGCGUGGGGAGCGAACAGG
rnacentral:rRNA from 1 species